rnacentral:rRNA from 1 species
UACGUAGGGGGGCUAGCGUUGUCCGGAUUUAUUGGGCGUAAAGAGCGUGUAGGCGGCCAGGUAGGUCUGGUGUGAAAACUCGAGGCUUAACCUCGAGAUGUCAUCGGAAACCAUCUGGCUAGAGUCCGGAAGAGGAGAGUGGAAUUCCUGGUGUAGCGGUGAAAUGCGCAGAUAUCGGAGGAACACCAAUGCGAGGCAAGCUGCUGGACGUC